UACGUAGGGGGCAAGCGUUGUCCGGAAUCAUUGGGCGUAAAGAGCGCGUAGGCGGCCCUGUAAGUCCGCUGUGAAAGUCAAGGGCUCAACCCUUGGAUGCCGGUGGAUACUGCAGGGCUAGAGUCCGGAAGAGGAGAAUGGAAUUCCCGGUGUAGCGGUGAAAUGCGCAGAUAUCGGGAGGAACACCGGUGGCGAAGGCGGCUCUCUGGGCCUGUACUGACGCUGAGGAGCGAAAGCGUGGGGAGCGAACAGG
rnacentral:rRNA from 1 species